rnacentral:rRNA from 1 species
UACGGAGGGUGCGAGCGUUGUUCGGAAUCACUGGGCGUAAAGCGCGUGUAGGCGGCCUUGUAAGUUUGGUGUGAAAGCCCGGGGCUUACCCCCGGAAGUGCACUGGAUACUGCAAGGCUAGAGUACCGGAGAGGAAAGUGGAAUUCCUGGUGUAGCGGUGAAAUGCGUAGAUAUCAGGAGGAACACCGGUGGCGAAGGCGGCUUUCUGGACGGAUACUGACGCUGAGACGCGAAAGCGUGGGGAG